CCUACGGGUGGCAGCAGUGAGGAAUAUUGGUCAAUGGACGCAAGUCUGAACCAGCCAAGUAGCGUGCAGGAUGACGGCCCUCCGGGUUGUAAACUGCUUUUAGUUGGGAAUAAAAGGGGGCUCGUGAGCCCCGUAUUGUAUGUACCAUCAGAAAAAGGACCGGCUAAUUCCGUGCCAGCAGCCGCGGUAAUACGGAAGGUCCGGGCGUUAUCCGGAUUUAUUGGGUUUAAAGGGAGCGUAGGCCGGCUUUUAAGUCAGCUGUGAAAGUCCGCGGCUCAACCGUGGAAUUGCAGUUGAAACUGGAGGCCUUGAGUGCACACAGGGAUGCCGGAAUUCAUGGUGUAGCGGUGAAAUGCUUAGAUAUCAUGAAGAACUCCGAUCGCGAAGGCAAGUGUCCGGGGUGCAACUGACGCUGAGGCUCGAAAGUGCGGGUAUCAAACAGGAUUAGAUACCCUGGUAGUC
rnacentral:rRNA from 1 species